CCCCGCAAGGGAGCGGCAGACGGGAGAGUAACACGUGGGAACGUACCCUUCAGUUCGGAACAACCCAGGGAAACUUGGGCUAAUACCGAAUACGUCCGUAAGGAGAAAGAUUUAUCGCUGAAGGAUCGGCCCGCGUCUGAUUAGCUUGUUGGUGAGGUAACGGCUCACCAAGGCGACGAUCAGUAGCUGGUCUGAGAGGAUGAUCAGCCUCAUUGGGACUGAGACACGGCCCAA
rnacentral:rRNA from 1 species